AUUUGAAAUCUGGCCCCCAGGGCCCGAGUUGUAAUUUGUAGAGGAUGCUUCUGGCGAGGUGCCUUCCGAGUUCCCUGGAACGGGACGCCACAGAGGGUGAGAGCCCCGUAUGGUCGGACACCGAGCCUCUGUAAAGCUCCUUCGACGAGUCGAGUAGUUUGGGAAUGCUGCUCAAAAUGGGAGGUAUAUGUCUUCUAAAGCUAAAUACCGGCCAGAGACCGAUAGCGCACAAGUAGAGUGAUCGAAAGAUGAAAAGCACUUUGAAAAGAGGGUUAAAAAGUACGUGAAAUUGUUGAAAGGGAAGCGCCUAUGACCAGACUUGAGCCCGGUGAAUCAUCCAGCGUUCUCGCUGGUGCACUUUGCCGGGCACAGGCCAGCAUCAGUUCAGCGCGGGGGAGAAAGGCUUCGGGAAUGUGGCUCCCCCGGGAGUGUUAUAGCCCGCUGCGUAAUGCCCUGCGCUGGACUGAGGUACGCGCAUUGCAAGGAUGCUGGCGUAAUGGUCAUCAGCGACCCGUCUUGAAACACGGACCAAGGAGUCGUCUUCGUAUGCGAGUGUUCGGGUGUCAAACCCCUACGCGUAAUGAAAGUGAACGCAGGUGAGAGCUUCGGCGCAUCACCGACCGAUCCUGAUGUUCUCGGAUGGAUUUGAGUAGGAGCAUACGGGGCCGGACCCGAAAGAAGGUGAACUAUGCCUGUAUAGGGUGAAGCCAGAGGAAACUCUGGUGGAGGCUCGCAGCGGUUCUGACGUGCGAAUC
rnacentral:rRNA from 1 species